rnacentral:misc_RNA from 1 species
GAUGAAGAACGCAGCGAAAUGCGAUACGUAAUGUGAAUUGCAAAUUCAGUGAAUCAUCGAGUCUUUGAACGCACAUUGCGCCCUUUGGUAUUCCUUAGGGCAUGCCUGUUCGAGCGUCAUCUAAACCUUCAAGCACUGCUUGGUGUUGGGUGCCUGUCCCGCCCCCGCGCGUGGACUCACCUCAAAUCCAUUGGCGGCCCUCACGUCGGCUACGAGCGCAGCAGAAACGCGAACUUGUGGACCCGGCGGAGUGGCCCCCAGAAGCUACAUUCACCAUUUUGACCUCGGAUCAGGUAGGGAUACCCGCUGAACUUAAGCAUAUCAAUAAGCGGAGGA